GGGCCCGCACAAGCGGUGGAGUAUGUGGUUUAAUUCGAUGCAACGCGAAGAACCUUACCAGGGUUUGACAUCCUGCGAAUCUCUUGGAAACGAGAGAGUGCCUUCGGGAGCGCAGUGACAGGUGGUGCAUGGCUGUCGUCAGCUCGUGUCGUGAGAUGUUGGGUUAAGUCCCGCAACGAGCGCAACCCACGUCUUUAGUUGCCAGCAUUUAGUUGGGCACUCUAGAGAGACUGCCGGUGAUAAACCGGAGGAAGGUGUGGAUGACGUCAAGUCAUCAUGCCCCUUACAUCCUGGGCUACACACGUACUACAAUGCUACGGACAAAGGGCAGCAAGCUAGCGAUAGUGAG
rnacentral:rRNA from 1 species